AUACGGAGGGUGCAAGCGUUACUCGGAAUCACGGGGCGUAAAGCGCGCGCAGGCGGUCUUUUAAGUUGGAUGUGAAAGCCUACGGCUCAACCGUAGAACUGCAUCCAAAACUAUUAGACUAGAGUGUGGGAGAGGAAGAUGGAAUUAGUUGUGUAGGGGUGAAAUCCGUAGAGAUAACUAGGAAUACCAAAAGCGAAGGCAAUCUUCUGGAACACUACUGACGCUGAGGCGCGAAAGCGUGGGGAGCAAACAGGAUUAGAAACCCUAGUAGUCC
rnacentral:rRNA from 1 species